rnacentral:lncRNA from 1 species
AUCCAAUUAUUUUAAGAAAGGAGUAUUUCACUGGAUAUUGCUAAACUUUCAAAUGAAGAAUGAUUAUAGGACCACGUAGCUUUUAGUUAAUUUUGUUAUUUUCACUUAAGUACAGAUGAUGCUUGUCUCUCUGGGCUGCAUUUGGGAUGAUUCCUCCGAUGUGCCACUCUUAGACGUCACGGAAUCACUACUACAAACUAAGGGAUGCACCGACUAUGUACACACAGGGCCAGCUUUGAGGAAUCUGGGAUGGCUUUCAGAAGCUUUAUGUGUUUAUACACCUUUCCCCAUGGGCCGUCACUCGGAGAGAACAGCUGCACCAAAUUCCAGACAGCAAACUUCUGAACCAUGAAACCACCAGGCACUAGGCAAGUUGGGCCAAUGCUUUAUUGGAAGAGAAUUAUAAAUGCAGGCGGCAUUGCUUUGGCACUAUUUGAAUUUGAAGCUCCUUCCAUGUUUCACAAUUAAGAGUACCAAUGCCAUCACGUCACCAG